rnacentral:rRNA from 1 species
GCCUAGCCUAAAAAAUUAACUCACACCAACAACACGCCCGGGUACUACGAGCGCAAGCUUAAAAUCCAAAGGAUUUGACGGUGUUCCACCCACCUAGAGGAGCCUGUUCUAUAAUCGAUGAUCCUCGAUACACCCCACCACUUCUCGCUUUUCAGCCUGUAUACCUCCGUCGCAAGCCUACCAUUUGAAUGUAAAAAAGCAGGUCUAAUGGACUACCCCGUCAACACGUCAGGUCAAGGUGCAGCCCAUGAAGUGGCAGAUAUGGGCUACAAUUUCUAAAAUAGAACAAACGAAAUACUACAUGAAAAACAGUCAUGAAGGCGGAUUUAGCAGUAAAAGAAGAAUAGAGUGCUUCUUUUAACAAGGCUCUGGAACGUGUACAAACCGCCCGUCACCCUCUUCAAUAGCAUACCUACAGCUCCGUAACAACUCUAAAGCACCUUAGAAGAGGUAAGUCGUAACAUGGUAAGUGUACUGGAAAGUGCACUUGGCUAAA